AACGAACGCUGGCGGCGUGCCUAACACAUGCAAGUCGAGCGAGAACGCCUCUUCGGAGGUUAGUAGAGCGGCGCACGGGUGAGUAACACGUGGAUAACCUACCCUAAGGUCUGGAACAACUAGAGGAGACUCUAGCUAAUUCCAGAUAAGACCACAGCCGGCAACGGCAGGGGGAAAAGCGGGGGCUUCCUUCGGGAACCUCGCGCCAUAGGAUGGGUCCGCGUCCCAUCAGGUAGUUGGCGGGGUAACGGCCCACCAAGCCUAAGACGGGUAGCUGGUCUGAGAGGAUGAUCAGCCACACUGGAACUGAGACACGGUCCAG
rnacentral:rRNA from 1 species